UUUGGAGAGAAGUUUCUUCUUUUUUAAAAAAAGAUGUUUGCUCAAUUCUAAGCUUGUUGCAUGCUCAGACUUCAGUUUCUUUUUUUCGGGUUUUGAGAGCUGGUCUGGUUAGGGGUUUUGAUUGGUUUAGACUGUCUUUUUCUCUUCAGGUAAGGCGUGUUUUACGAAGGUUUUGAGAGAUGUUUUUUCUUUUUUGAAGAUAUUUGUUGGGAUUCAUGCUUGGUGUGUGCGGAGACUUUGAUUCCUUCUUAGGUUUCAAGUUGUUCAUACAAAAGGACAUGUUCAUCGCAUGUUGUUUGCGGGAGUGAUUGCUGGAAGGAACUCUGAUGUUCUAUCUACAGGGUUUUGACACACAAAUCGAAGCCUUCUUUGGUUCAAACCAAGUUACAUGAUCUGUUUCAUUGGUGUCACAACGUGUGUUUAAUAUUUCCUCUCAUUGCAAGGAGGAUUUCUUGGAGUUGCGAAGCCAAGCAGGUCUGCUCUCUAUUCUCCUUGACUUCAAAAAAACAAAA